GCUGCCUGCGUCCUUCACUUGUCCCCAUCACUAGAAAAGAGCAGUGUCAGCAGGCUUCCAGGGAACCCACAAGUCACCUGUGGGGGGACACUUUGCCACGGUGCGUCAUGCAGCCCCUGGAACUCUCCAGCCGUCUCAGCAACUCCAUCAAGACCAGAAAGGGUCGCCCUUCUACCAGUGGGCAACACUGGGCCAGUCUUCCCUUUAGCUGGGCCAUCUGGUGGCCCUGAAACAGUCCCAUGAAAGGAGGAAGAAUACCUGAUGCGGUCACUUAUGCACAACAGCAUAGAGUUUGGAAACACCAUACCAAUGUUACUAGAGGCAGAACUACCAUGUCACGCUGGACUCCUGUGCACCCCUG